rnacentral:rRNA from 1 species
UGGGGAAUAUUGGACAAUGGGCGAAAGCCUGAUCCAGCCAUGCCGCGUGUGUGAAGAAGGUCUUCGGAUUGUAAAGCACUUUAAGUUGGGAGGAAGGGCAUUAACCUAAUACGUUAGUGUUUUGACGUUACCGACAGAAUAAGCACCGGCUAACUCUGUGCCAGCAGCCGCGGUAAUACAGAGGGUGCAAGCGUUAAUCGGAAUUACUGGGCGUAAAGCGCGCGUAGGUGGUUUGUUAAGUUGGUUGUGAAAUCCCCGGGCUCAACCUGGGAACUGCAUUCAAAACUGACUGACUAGAGUAUGGUAGAGGGUGGUGGAAUUUCCUGUGUAGCGGUGAAAUGCGUAGAUAUAGGAAGGAACACCAGUGGCGAAGGCGACCACCUGGACUAAUACUGACACUGAGGUGCGAAAGCGUGGGGAGCAAACA